rnacentral:rRNA from 1 species
AUUGAACGCUGGCGGCAGGCUUAACACAUGCAAGUCGAACGGGGUGAUGGUGCUUGCACUAUCACUUAGCGGCGGACGGGUGAGUAAUGCUUAGGAAUCUGUCUAUUAGUGGGGGACAACAUCCCGAAAGGGAUGCUAAUACCGCAUCCGUCCUACGGGAUAAAGCAGGGGAGCACUUGUGACCUUGCUAUAAUAGAUGAGCCUAAGUCGGAUUAGCUAGUUGGUGGGGUAAAGGCCUACCAAGGCGACGGACUGUAGCGGGUCUGAGAGGAAGAUCCGCCACACUGGGACGGAGACACGGCCCAGACUCCUACGGGAAGCAGCAGUGGGGAAUAUUGGACAAUGGGGGGAACCCUGAUCCAGCCAUGCCGCGUGUGUGAAGAAGGCCUUAUGGUUGUAAAGCACUUUAAGCGAGGAGGAGGCUCUUUUGGUUAAUACCCAAGAUGAGUGGACGUUACUCGCAGAAUAAGCACCGGCUAACUCUGUGCCAGCAGCCGCCGUAA